GGUGAGGCACAGGCUGCCCAGAGAAGUUGUGGAUGCCCCAUCCCUGGAAAUUGUUCAAGGCCGGGCUGGAUGGUGCUCUGAGCAACGUGAUCUAGUGAGAGAUGUCCCUGCCCAUGGCAGGGGGUGAAAUGGGAUGAGC